GUCCACGCUGUAAACGAUGGAUGCUAGCUGUUAUCGGUAUCGACCCCGGUAGUAGCGAAGCUAACGCGUUAAGCAUCCCGCCUGUGGAGUACGGUCGCAAGACUAAAACAUAAAGGAAUUGACGGGGACCCGCACAAGCGGUGGAGCGUGUUGUUUAAUUCGAUGGUAAGCGAAGAACCUUACCCAGGUUUGACAUCCUUGGAAUUUUGCCGAAAGGCGAGAGUGCUUUAUUGAACCAAGUGACAGGUGUUGCAUGGCCGUCGU
rnacentral:rRNA from 1 species